AAAGAAGUGAUGAUUAUUUCCUCAAAUGAUCGACGCUGAUUAAACUGGGCGAUUUUUUUUUUUUUUUUUUUUUUCUUUCUCUUUUGAGAAACCAAGCCAAGUGUUUCUGUUCCUU